GGCCAGACUCCUACGGGAGGCAGCAGUGGGGAAUAUUGCACAAUGGGGGAAACCCUGAUGCAGCGACGCCGCGUGAGUGAAGAAGUAUUUCGGUAUGUAAAGCUCUAUCAGCAGGGAAGAUAAUGACGGUACCUGAGUAAGAAGCCCCGGCUAACUACGUGCCAGCAGCCGCGGUAAUACGUAGGGGGCAAGCGUUAUCCGGAUUUACUGGGUGUAAAGGGAGCGUAGACGGCAUGGCAAGUCUGAAGUGAAAGCCCGGGGCUCAACCGCGGGACUGCUUUGGAAACUGUUAAGCUGGAGUGCAGGAGAGGUAAGUGGAAUUCCUAGUGUAGCGGUGAAAUGCGUAGAUAUUAGGAGGAACACCAGUGGCGAAGGCGGCUUGCUGGACGAUGACUGACGUUGAGGCUCGAAAGCGUGGGGAGCAAACAGGAUUAGAUACCCUCGUAC
rnacentral:rRNA from 1 species